CAGGCCGGGCGGCCGCGCGAAGCCUGCUGGGAGCCGGGCUCCGCCUGGGCGCGGAGCCGGGCCUCUGCGCGCAAGGGCUGCCGGGAGUUGUAGUGCGCGGCUCUUCCCACGGGAGCUUGGCCGUGUCGCCUCACCUCGACGUUACCUCACGUCGCCUCCCCUCGCCUUGCCUGUCCCCGAGGCCCCAGUAAAUACUGUCACACACUGUGGUGGAACCGGGGCUUUGUGCCCUCUUCGGCUUGGGGAGCAGCCGCAGCCCAGCCCUGCCCUGCCCUCAUACCGCCGCAGCACCAAACCUGUGGUGAGCGCUCACCUUGCCGCCAAGUGAGGCACAAGGGAGGGAAAGAUCUGUACAAAUUGCUGUUAAACCACAAAGCACAGGCAUAAGGGUCAUGCCUGACUGGACAUAAGGAGCUCAUUACAAAGUAGCAUUCUGUCUUCACAACUGUUUCUUUACUGGUAACCCCUUCCCUGAAUUUCGGAAGGACUUGCUGGAUUCCUCCCCGAGGCCUACGUGAGGAUUUCCAGAAGAGGAACAACGCAGGAAAGCAAACAGAAGUGUGAGGCAUGUGCACGUGGGAAGAAUCAUGUACAUUAAAGCUUCCUCAGGAAUAUUAACUGAUUUAAUUUAGUGUCCUGAUUUCACCUGGGAUAGAGUUUUCACCAAGCAUUGAAGACCAUCUUCAAAUACUGUCUAUGCAGGGCAGUAAACAGACAUUGCAGCUCCUUGGAUGGAAUUAAAGGAGUGAAGUCAGUUAAGUGACAUUAUAAUCAGGAUUCUGAGAUUACUUCUUUACAUGCAUUCACUUUUGUACUCUAUCAACUUGUUUUCAUUGUGAGUUUUGAAUGAACAGACAUGAAGGAGGAUUUUCUUCUUAAAAGAAGUGGAAAUCUGUUGGCUACUUCUGUUGGCAAGUCACAGGACAAAGCAGAGUGCCUGGGUAUCACGGACAAGGACUGCCCUCUUGUUUUGUCCACCAGAAGCCUGUGAAGUGUGAAGCCUUCACUCACUGCCAAAUGGCCACCAGAGGAUUUGAUUUGUCAAUAAGCUGCACGAAUACCCAGGCCACCUCCAUCUGCUGCUGUGACAGAACACAAUUAACAGGAAAAUCCCAGACCCUCUCCUCCUCUGUCUUGAUAUUGGAGUUUUCUGGCUGAGCGAUUUGACAUCAUCAUCAUCACAGACAUUUCCCCUAUCUCUAUAGCAACGUAUGAUGAUGCCACAAACAGAGGAUUAUGCAAUCUGUGUAGACUCAGAUGGACGGAGAGGCAGGGCUGGGAGCUCUGAUUUAAACACAAAUGUCUCUAAUAGCAGCAAGGGGAAUACAGAAACUUUUUGGCCAAGGAAAUGGUUUUUGUAUAAACAUUCUCAUCUUCCAAGUUUUGCUCCGGUGGGAAAGUUUCUCCUUAAAGUCCUCUUAUACAUAUGUGUGUUGUAUAUACACAUUCACACACAGAUAUAUUUAUUUGUGUGUGAAGGAAUGCAAUGAUUAUGCAAAUGCAGUAUUGUUCCCACCAUUGUGCAGGCAGGGAUGCUGCCAGCCCCCUACACACGACCUCUAACGUGUCUAAGACCUACUAUGCUGCGCUCAUGUCAGGCACAAAGGUGCAGUGGAUCUGCCCAGACCUCGUGUUCCCUUUUUAGUAGAGGGCUGCCCCAUCAGACCCUGCUGAAUAUCUGUUUUUCAUGUAUGAUAUGGAAAUGUUUGUGUCCUUGGCUAGGUGGGACCAGCAUCCUCCUCAUUCAGACUCACUCUGUCCUUUCCCUACCAGCUUUGUCCUGCAGUUAAUGCAUAAGAGGAGAAUGGCCAAUUUGAAAUCUCAGCCCUCGCAAAGACUUUCCAGCUAAGCCUUAGGAAAUGCCUUUGAUGCCCUCUCUGUGCCUCAGUUUCUCCUGCAGUGGAACUAAUAAAUCUCAGUUCUUAAGGAAGUGGUGAGAAUAACUCCACUCUCAUUUGAAUGCUCAGACUCUUCAGUAAAGGGGUCCAUGGAGACUUUGAAAAACACACCUAUGGGUGCUUCUUCCAUGUUUAUUUUGUAUUUAUUGAACAUACAAAUGCAUCCUAUCUAGCACGUGUCAGAAUCAAUAACUGUGCCUUGUUAGCAGUUUUUCCAUUUAUGGCAUAUUGUCCUGACAUAGCUGGAGAACCUCAAUGAAUAUGGUUUUAAUAACCCAAUGGUAUUUAACGUACAAUCACUGUCUUAUUAAGUCUAAAUUAAAUCCUUACUUGAGACAUUUAAUUUAAAGUGUGACUGAUCUUUUCCUGGCCUGGAAGAAGAUACUUAAAUGACACUUCUUCCAAUUUGGCCACGUGGCUGAGGGGGUGGGAUUUAAAUUAUGUAUUUUGAUGGAACUACUAAUCUGGUUAAAGCUGAAUUGCAUCAUUUUAUGAACACUCAGAGACAGGAUCAAAUUAAACCCAACUUCUCACCAAGUUAACUCAGCUGAGCCUCAAGCCUCGCACUGCAUUCAAAACACACACUUACUGUGACUAUCCACUCAGCAGCAUCUGCUUGGCUUUUCCAAAGGAAAAAAUGAAGUGCACCAUAUUUUUCUACUCAGAGCCUCUUGUGGGGUGCCUUUUGAGUUGACAAAGACAAGGCUUACAUUCUGCUGUGGGCACACUAAUAAAAUAAACCUAAUAAAAUAAACAUUACAUGCAAUAACGAUGCUACUAAAUCUAAGUUCAAUGUGUAGCUAAAGUGUUACCCACAGAUCUAUUUAGAGCGAUGUGCCUGGACUUCCUUCCAUCCUUUCCCAACCCAGAGUCACAUAAACAUUCAUUAAAUUGAAAGCAUUGUCAGGGCUAAUGGGAGUUUCCACAAGCAACUUUGGCACAUGCAAAACUGAGGAGUGUGCAGAGCAUACAGAUAGAUGACGUGCCGUGACUUCUGCAUGCCAAGGCCAUCACUGAUGAAGGGCUGGUGUGGGAAGACAACAGAAACAGAAACUAUCACAUACUUUGCUGCUGUCUUUUGUGUUUGGGCCACACAAUGAUUUUUUUGUUGGAUGGAUGCAAGUUGUGCAGUUGAAGGCGCACAGGAAAGGACAGCAUCCUUUGGUACAAGGCAGAUGCGGGACGUUCAGGUUAGUCUCUGGAAGGCAGCGCACCCAAGGGACUAGGGCAGUGAAUGGGGAACUUGGAGAAGGAGGGGCACUGGGCUGUGGGGUGCCUUCUGCUAGGCCCUGGCUCCUUGGGCAGUUGCUGGGGGGACAAGGUGGAGAGUGGCUGGGGCAGCACACCUUCAUUUGAAAGUUACGGUCCUGAAAGCAAGGAGAAAGUGUGUUGUUUUUUUUUUUAACAUCAUUACCGCUAUAGUCUGCAGUGAGGGCAGCAUAACACUUCAAGCUGAAAUAUUCGUAUUCUUAUUAUGUCCUCCAUCCAAGAAUUUAACUGCUAUUUGGUUCAGUUCAGUCUAGAUGAUUGAUUUCUCCUGGAUGCUGUGGUGAGAACUGUUUUAAUAGUUUACAGAUGGACAAAUGAAACAGGGAGGUGUCCAAUGUGUUGCCCAGCACUGCAAGCUGCGCCAGUGGCAGAAUGAUUGUAUCCCUGCUUGAUCCCAGCCAGGGAGUGAUGGAUGCAAGUUUGUUCUUAAAUAAUGAAAAAAAAAUUCUUUGGAAGGAAUUUGCGUUUUCUAGCCUGUUCUCCCCGCACAACAAAUACAAGAAAGCUGAGAGUACAAUUGGUACAACAUCGUUUGAGCAGAAGUCUGCAAUACCUUGGCAGUUGGAAUUCCACCAGAUAAGCAAUAUUUGAUUAAUAUUGGACAGCAGGAGGAGAUAAUAAAGGAUAGUAUGGACAUAUUGGAGAAGCACUCAGAAGAGCUACUCAUGGAUUUGCAAUAUUCCAGCACAGAUUGCCAAUGUUGCAUUAAAAUAUUGCCACAGAAGCAUUUCCCUAGACCUAGUGCAGGAUAAACCAAUGAACAACCCCCUCCUCCCCUGUUCCACAUACCUCCUUCUGUGAUAUUUCCACCCAUUUCCUCUGUCUAUUGCCUGUGGCUUGAGCAAGGUUCAUUCAAAUGAAUUUAAAGCAGGGAUAAAUAUUGUCAAUUCAAAUCACGGCUUUUCAGUCUGUCCCCAGGGUUGUCCCCAGGGCAGGCAUCCCUUGCUGAAACAGGUCAUAUUCCCUCUCUAGAUGAGGCUGUUGAGUCACGAAGAAAAGGUGAGGGGUGGCAAGAGAAAGACAGGGAAGGGAAAAAACUAGCAAGCGAACAAACAAUUUGCAGAGCAAGGAGGACAUUUGAGCUCUUGUGUUUCUUUUCUCAUUGUAGUUUAUUCCAAAUCCUGCCACAGCCUUCCUGGAGGAGGGGGAAGGGCAUCGGCUGAUUUGCAUCUUAUGUUACUGCUGACAGUAGGAGGUCUUAAUUGGGGCACCAAAGAGCAGGUGUAUGCUAACGUUAAUCUUCCCUUUCACCUGUCACUCAUGCAAUGAAUAUGAUCUCUCCCUCUCAUUAGCAGCGCUCUGUCACAUGCUGGAGAGCUUUGGAAGGGUCCCUCUGAAACUUGUGGGGAUUGAUUUUGCUGCCUGCACUGGGUUAUUACUGCCAUGCCCUGGACAGCCACUCCCCAGGAGCACAGCCAUGCAGUGGGUGUACGGACAAGCGCUGCUUAAUAGUCUCAAAUCAUAUGUGCCUUGGAAAAAUGAACAUUAAUUCCUGUAUUGGCUUUACAGAUAGAGACUGACUCAUUUUGAAAAUAACACAUCGUGCCUUGAGUGUUGCAGAGAUGACCUUAGGAGGAAAGUUAAUUUAGAAAAGAUACUCAAUUUGGUAUUAUCUCCAAAUGUUGAUUCCUGGAAUCAUUACUCAUUACUUAGUCAGGCAAAACUUCCCUGGAUUUCAAGGGCUCUGGCUGGUGCCAAGAGGAAACUGGCCUGGGAGAGGAUGAAAUCGUAACUCCAGAAUUUGAACCUCUACCUCUUGCAGUUCACCUACCAUAGCAGCGAAGGGCUAACCCUUUGCUUGAACAGUGUGGAUUAUUAGGAAACAACCAUGAACAGCUCAAAGAAACCAAACUUUAUUUGUUUUGCCUUCAUGCACUAGAGAGGAAGCAGCACAAACUCUGCAUCUUGGGAGGAACCUGCAGAAAGGACUGCGAUCUCCGUCAGCCGGCUGAGUGUCCUGUGCAGAGAGAAGAAAAAAAGGAAAGAUCUCACAAAGAGUUUAUCUGAACUUUAUACAUUCUUGUAGUGCUGCUCUGGAACAAGUUCUGCUUUGGUUCACUCAGAGUUCAAUCUUUGGAGACUUAAAGUGCUCACUCAAAUGCACUGAACAAGAGGAAUGCUUCAGCUCCAAUCAGCUCCUGUCUUCUUUGGAAAUGCUGGCCCUGAGGCUCUGCCUAAUAACCUGUGAUCAGCAUCCCAGUCAUGUGCUGGAUAGACAACUGAAGAAGCUCACAGACCUGUCUUUCCACGAUUUGGACAAAGCAAAUAAGAUGGCGUGAAGAAGAGGUUCAGGAAUUCUAGUGGCAACCGCUACUAUUACAAAAAUAAAGACCUACAGCUUCCCCAAAUGGCAAACCCUUCAUGAAGGACACAAAGCAGCCCUUGUGCGACGUGACGAGGAAAACUUUUCCCUGGCAUUCUCAUGAAAGUAGAUCUGUUGGUGAAAGCUCCUGAGAGGAGCGGAGACGGAGAGGAAACGAGGCGCCGUCCCACUGAAAUCAGCAGGACUCUGGUGCUCUGAGGAAGGCAUACAUAUGCCUGGAUUGAGUUGAUAUUUACAGAAGGCUCCUUUUGAAUUGGCUUUUGAUUAUACACCUAUGUCAGAGGGUGGACAGUGAGACUCAGUGCGACUUGUUUCCACGUGAGAAAGAUGAUGAAAGAUUGCAAAGCUCCCCUUGCGAUUAAAACUGUUGAAACAGCUGGUAGCGGGUAGCCGUUCUUGCCGGGCUAUUUCCUGACAUCAGUCAGCAUCCAUGGGGCUGCUGCAGCCAUCGGAGCCCGAGGAGAGGUGGCCACGUCCUGGCUGUCCCCGCACCCUCGAGGAGCUGCCCGUGUCGUGCAGUGCACCCCAUUGCACAAGGGGUGAAUCUGGGCAGCGCAGCAGCAAAGCCACAGAACACACUGUCAAAAGCCAAUGAAUGCUGAAAUUAAGAGACUGUUGGAAAGUUGACCAAAAUGAGGAUUUGCAUUUAAAAAAAAAGAAACAGAGCACCUUCACCGCCUAAUGGGAAGGCUGAUGAGCAAGGUACAUCGUUUGAGGUGGUUUGUCCAGUGUGGAAAACUUGCUGGGGCAAAAAAAUGGUCUUUGAAUGUGCUGGUGUCAGUCUCCAUGUAUGGAAACUAGAUGUCAUCUGCUGCCAAGGUGAGUGCUGAGCAGAUGGGGCAGGGCAGGAGGGUGAAGGAUAGCACAGGCAGAGGGACGUCCCAGGACAGCAUCUGUGUCCACCAGCCUGGGGUGGAGAAGCCUUGCCAUAUUUGUGGAGGGGGAAAUGGGAAUAGAAAGCCCCUCAGGCUGAGGAAAGCUUAGGAACAGGUUUCAGGGCUUGGACGCACACAGCUUAACCUCAGAUGAAGGGGACCAUAACAACAACUGUCACUGCCCCUUUUGCUGUUGAAGCAAACAAGCACUGUGCAGGUUUUCAGCAAUCACAUUCAGCACCAUAGGGCUGAGCAUACCAGCUCUGGGCUGCUGAAUUCACAGAGCUGAAGAGCUCAGCCUAGAUUAAGACACAUUCGAAGGAAAAAAGGGAGUGAGAAAGGAGAGUUCAGGUCAACCCAGCUAGCAAGCACUGCUUUCAGGCAAUGAACAGUGAUAAAAUGACCAAAGCAAGUCAUUGGUGUUGGGUUGUAUUAUCUGCAAGCUUUGGCAUUUUCCAGCUGAAUGCUUGCCACUUCUUCCUUCUCAGCCCUCUGCUGCUAUUAUUUUUACAUCAUGACUGUUGAGGAGUGUAUCAUUCAUAACAUACCUAUCGCAGAGAGAUUCCUUUUUAAAUGCUUAGGGAGAUAGAGGGCUACAAACCCUGGGAAAUCAACUAUGCCUAAUAUAUUAUGUAGAAGUUCUGUAAUCAUUAUUGAACUAAAGUGCAUUGAGUAAGUGGAUAAAAUCAGUCCCACUGUAGCAUAAGUCUCCAGAGAGCACAGAUAAAAAUGCCUGGUACUUAAGUAGAAAAAGGUAACAAAAUAUUUCCAGUCCCAGCAACUGCAUUUUCCCCUCUAUAUAAAUAGGGAACCCUCAGGAGAAGGCAAUGAUGCAGCAGAGGUUGAAGGCAAAGUUAAUGGUGGCGCAGUGGGGGAGCGAGGCAGUGCCUGGGGCAGGCUGAUGAUGAGUAACGUGCCGUGGAAAUGAGGCCGAAGGCAGAGCCUCCCUGGCAAGGAGGCAGAGGGGUGCAGGCAGGCCCCCGUGCAAAGCUAUGGGGCAGAGGGGAGGCUGAGAGGGCACAGAGAAAGGUCGCAGCCCUACAGCCUCUCAAUGAGUCUGGUACAAGGUUUUAGCUCCUCUUUCCUCUAAACACUGCAGAGAAGUGAAUGUUUUACCAAGGGUCCUCCUUGAGGCUUGCUUUCUAGAGUUUGUCAUGGCUCUUGCACAGAGUGACACAGUUUCCCACCCCAACACAAACACACAUCUGCAGAUUUGUGCCUACUGACCUGAGCUGUUACCUUUCUACAAAGCCUCCUCACUGACAAAUUUAUCCUGAGGUUAUUCUCAGCAGGAUAGUCUGUGCCCCUUCAGAGCACUCCUGUAUGUAGCCAAACAGAACCAGUUCUUGCUGCACUCAUACACGUGGUCAAGAGCUGUCAGACUGCAAUGAAUCACCCCAACAUGGUGUACCAGCUGCAAUCCCACUGGAACCCUUGGAGGGUCUGGCUUAUUGUGUAAGGCAAAGCUUGCCAUGAAUAAAUGGGGGAGAAUUAGAGCUUCAUUUACUUUACCCUUCUGUAACAAAGGAAGAAGCAAAAAAUUUCACUCUCCCCACCUCAUACAAAGCAGGCUUUGGCUGGAUUGGGACAUACAGGACAGAGUUUGCUAUUGCAAGAAAGGGUUAGGUGAUCAUCUAAAUAGAAUUUUUUUUCAGCUGAGAUCUUCAGACAUGCAUCCACAUGAAUGAUAAAGAAGUUAGGAUCAUUAAUUGAAAAUGGGAAGGAAAAGUAUGUCAGAGCAUUUUAUUUGCUGCUCCUGUUGUAGGCCUGCACAGAAAAAGCCACCUAGAACUGCAGCCCCUGCUGUUAGGCUGUGACCUGGGUAGUCAUCGGCAUUCAAGUCCUGGAAUGACUAUAUUAAAGUUUUCAAAGAUGUGUGCUCUUUCACAUGACCUGCCAAUCAUGUUGGAGCAGUGCCAUAAGCUCUGGACUAGCUGUAUCCUCAGGGGCACCAAGGAGAGGAAGACAGAGGAGAGUUGUGGGGUUGGAACUAUUACUUAUUUAUCUAAAGUAUUGACCUGACCUCCCCUACUGAAAUAUCAGCAUUAGCUGCUAGGGAAAAGGGAUGCCAGAGCAGAUCCUUCUGGGAAAUAGGGGAAGCAGAGAUGUCAAAUGAGGCCCAAAUCAGGCAGCAUCCCACUGAGAUAACAGGAGAGGGUGAGGGGGGAUGAGGGACACAACAGAGACAGGCAGGGAGGUGGCAAUGACUCAAGAGUGGGUGGGCAAGGAGGCAGCAACCAAAAGGACCAAAUAUCUUGCUGAAGCUGUCUGGCAGACAACGGCAUGGCUGAGAUGCACUGAUAGUGAAUGAGAUGAACUUUGAAUGUUCACGAUGAGGCUUUGUGCAUAUUUACCACAAUGGUAAUGAAAUAUGUUUGUAAAAGGAGGAAGAAGCAAGUAGAAAGCGUUGCUUAAUGUCAUUAUGAAUGGAGCUGAAUGAGUGAAGGGUCACGGCUCUGAAAUGAUGAGAUGUGUGGUCCUCUGGAAUGUCUGAAGUAAGCACCCAGGCCCAAGUGAGGAAAACAGAGAUUGAAAUGGAAUUGGGAAAAAAAAAGUUACUGGGAUUCUUCAAGACAAGGAGGGCACGUCUCCUGUAGACAGCUCUGAAGAACGUGUUGUGCUUAGUCCCCAGCCAAGCAGACUGAGAGUGACAGUUAUUUCUUUUCUGUGUGUCCAAACUGAAGGCCUAACAUAGGAGAACAGAAAAGUAUAUUGCUGGUGCAUGAUGAAAGCAUAUAACAUUUGCCAUGCACCACAGAAACAGGUUUCAGUGACAAUGUCCCUUAAAAAAAAAGAAGGUGAUGAGUGUAAAUAAACAAAAGAUUCCUGAGAUGCAGUGGAUGUGUUUCUGAAAAAGCCCGGACAACGUGGGCUUUGAUAAAACAUCUCUAGAACUACUGUCCCAUGAAACAGGAGGGCACCAGAGCUGAGAUGUGACCAGGGACUCUGAGAGGCCUCUGACCAAUUGUUAGUACAGCAGCCUGGCUUGGACAUUUAUAAAAGGAUGGGUGAACAAGGGAUAUGAAACAGGAAGGAACAGAGGCAAUCAAGUGCAUAACAUAAAAUAUGUCUUCAGCUAACCCAUGAAAUAGCAGAAGAUCCAUGGACUGUGAUGCUAAGCAGGCUUAUGUAAAUGAUUACAUGAAGCAGCUGUGGCAUGAGCCUGUAGAUAUGGAGAAGGGCUCCAAAGGGAGUAAACAGAAACAAAGACAAGGCCAGGAAGCUGAUGGUGAAGGUAGCUUGCUUUGCUGAGGUUUCUUUAAACAACAAAAAAAUUAGAGGCAUUCCCAUAGAAAAACACAGUCAAUUCAAUGCCAGACAAAUUCUCAUUGGAUCCAAAAGACUGAAGCAAAACUCUGGUUCUGGACAGAGAACCAUUACUUAAUCUACAAAGAGGUUUCCUGAUAUUACAUCCUGAUUUUUUCAGACUGCUUUUUAGCUACAUGUGAUCUGACUUAUUUCCAGUGAGCAGAGAAACCCUGGCUGCAGUAAGAGCUGCCAGGAUCUAAACCACCUGAAAAGGGUGUAGGAGAAUUAUCCCAGGCAGAAGCAGCAGAUUUCUCAUGAAGACAGAAUAAGCGUGGGGCCAACAGCUCUCUUUUUCUCCUUUGACUACUGGGAUGGAUCUGCUAAUAUUUAAGAGAUAGCCAACACUUUUUACAUUGCAAGAAGCAACAUUCAGCUGCUUACAGUUGCAGCAAAUUUAAAUUUUCUAAGUAAAUUUCAAUUAAAUUUAAACUGAAAUCCCAACAUCCCUAUUUCUACCAAAGAAUGCUCAGAGCUUUGCAUUAGGCAUGGCAUGUAAAGGUUUUCAAUUUUCCCCAAAGUCUUAUGUGCGACAGCUACUUGAGGACCAGCUGGGUACCAUUGUGUCAUCCAUCCUCAUCCCAGAAGUAAAAUCCUUUAUCUUUCACUCCCACCAAAGAAGUACAAAAUGAGAUGAAACACGUCAAACCAGUUUGGUAGAUAAUGGAUAUGUCAUUUAGUAAUGGCAGUAGAAUAGAAAGGCUUUACAGGAAGGUCCAUCACGAUCAAGGAGCUACUUACAGCUCAGCAUACUUUGAUGCCAUUCUUGGAGCUGGCCAUGUGUGUAACUGAAGACGUGGUCCAGGGUGUCUAAGUGCAGUGGGUGUGUUGCCAUUGGCUUAACUGAUACCAAGAUGAAAACUUAUCUCCCUGGGUGUCUGGCAGUGAAUCUAAUAUGCCCUUGUUUUGUUCUUCAUGAUCACUACAUUUAGACAGCCAGCUCUUUGCAACUGGGUACCUAAAGCUAGAUAUGCUCCUGGAAUCCACCAGAAAUACAGGUGAGCUGUUCAAGCAAUCAACAGAAUAAAACGGUAGAAAUAGUAAGAAUAAUGAUAUGAUGGUGAACAGACAGCACUAUGAGUGAGGACCCUUUGAAUCCAUUAGCAACAGAAUAAGAGGAGUUUGAGUGCACCAGAGUUUGCCAUGUUUCAUUGUGUAAUUCCACGAAGUUCUGCUUCUCCUUAAUUUCAGAAAGACAACUCAGUAGCCUCUGGCUUCUACAUCUUAGUUUUUCUCAUCUACUAGCCAGAAAAAGAAUCACACAACUAGGAGCUGUAUUCACAGACAGGAAGUAACUUUAAUUAAAUAUUGUGAAAGUUGAAAAGUUUUUACAGCUUGAGUUUCUGCAAAAAAAUUAUAACAAUCUCUACAGUAGUUAGUUUCUCUAACAAUAGAACUGUACAGUGUGUGUGUCUAUUCAAAAAGAUUUAGAUAAGAAGGUGAAAGGUUAGUAGUUUCAGAGAUGACUUCAUUUUAGCUGCAUUCUAGUACAACUGUGAGGAAAUAGGCAUACUUGAUGCAAUCCAGUCAUUGUGAAGCUUCACCUUUUUAAAACUGAAAUCUGGACGUUUCCACUUAAAGCCAUAUUCUGUAAACAGCUGCAUCUUUUACUUUGUAAAAGAUAAGAGUGGUGCAGGGGGGGGGUUAUAAAGUCCCAUUCAACAGACCACUACAAAUAGCUGCAACAAAACAAAAUGAUGCACAUUGUCAGAGGAUCUUUGGACACUGGCGUAGAAGACUACAAACACAGAUGGCCAACACUGGUGUCAAAAUCGCUAUGACUUUGAGUGGAGCUCUACAAGAGUAACUGAUGGUGUCACUGAACAAAAUAUGGCUUUAAAUUUGAUUACAUUGUCGUGCUGUUGCUUACUAUGUGAAUUAGAAUAACCGUUUGGAAUACAGAGAAGCAAUAAACUGAUGUCUCUCACA